rnacentral:snoRNA from 1 species
UCCUAUGAUGGCAUGGAAAUCUUUGAGACCUGAUUGUCAUAUUUGAUGAAAAACGUAAGCAUUUUUUUCUGAGGAU